rnacentral:rRNA from 1 species
GAUGAACGCUAGCGGCAGGCCUAAUACAUGCAAGUCGAACGGGUUGUGGUAGCAAUACCACGAUCAGUGGCGCACGGGUGCGUAACGCGUAUGCAACCUACCUUUAACUGGGGGAUAGCCUUCCGAAAGGAAGAUUAAUACCGCAUAAGAUCACACGAGGGCAUCUGAGAGUGAUUAAAGAUUUAUCGGUUAAAGAUGGGCAUGCGUGCCAUUAGCUAGUUGGUAGGGUAAAGGCCUACCAAGGCUACGAUGGCUAGGGGUUCUGAGAGGAUGAUCCCCCACACUGGCACUGAGAUACGGGCCAGACUCCUACGGGAGGCAGCAGUAGGGAAUAUUGGGCAAUGGACGAAAGUCUGACCCAGCCAUGCCGCGUGCAGGAAGAAGGCCUUCUGGGUUGUAAACUGCUUUUAUCUGGGAAGAAAAAGCCCCUGCGGGGGAAACUGACGGUACCAGAGGAAUAAGCACCGGCUAACUCCGUGCCAGCAGCCGCAGUAACAC